rnacentral:rRNA from 1 species
CGCAUCCUACGGGAGGCAGCAGUAGGGAAUCUUCGGCAAUGGGCGAAAGCCUGACCGAGCAACGCCGCGUGAAUGAAGAAGGCCUUCGGGUUGUAAAAUUCUGUUAUAAGGGAAGAAAGGUGAUAGGAGGAAAUGACUAUCAAUUGACGGUACCUUAUGAGAAAGCCACGGCUAACUACGUGCCAGCAGCCGCGGUAAUACGUAGGUGGCAAGCGUUAUCGGGAAUUAUAGGGCGUAAAGAGGGCGCAGGGGGUUAAUUAAGUCUGAUGUGAAAGCCCACGGCUUAACCGUGGAGGG